GAGUUUGAUCGUGGCUCAGAAUGAACGCUGGCGGCGUGCUUUACACAUGCAAGUCGAGCGAGGCGUGUAGCAAUACACAGUCGAGCGGCGAACGGGUGAGUAACGCGUGGAUUAUCUGCCCUGAGGUGGGGGAUAACCCGGGGAAACUCGGGCUAAUACCGCAUAUGACCGUGAGGUCAAAGGGGGGUCGCAAGAUCUCUCGCCAUAGGAGGAGUCCGCGUCCGAUUAGCUAGUUGGUAGGGUAAUGGCCUACCAAGGCGACGAUCGGUAGCCGGCCUGAGAGGGUGAUCGGCCACACUGGAACUGAGACACGGUCCAGACUCCUACGGGAGGCAGCAGUGGGGAAUUUUGCGCAAUGGGCUAACGCCUGACGCAGCAACGCCGCGUGGAGGAUGAAGGUCCUUGGAUUGUAAACUCCUGUCAGCAGGGAAAAAGCAACCUAACCUCAUACGUUAGGAAGUUGAUUGUACCUGCAGAGGAAGCCCGGCUAACUCUGUGCCAGCAGCCGCCGCAGUAAU
rnacentral:rRNA from 1 species